rnacentral:rRNA from 1 species
GACGAACGCUGUCGGCGUGCUUAACACAUGCAAGUCGAACGGAAAGGCCCUGCUUUUGUGGGGUGCUCGAGUGGCGAACGGGUGAGUAACACGUGAGUAACCUGCCCUUGACUUUGGGAUAACUUCAGGAAACUGGGGCUAAUACCGGAUAGGAGCUCCUGCUGCAUGGUGGGGGUUGGAAAGUUUCGGCGGUUGGGGAUGGACUCGCGGCUUAUCAGCUUGUUGGUGGGGUAGUGGCUUACCAAGGCUUUGACGGGUAGCCGGCCUGAGAGGGUGACCGGCCACAUUGGGACUGAGAUACGGCCCAGACUCCUACGGGAGGCAGCAGUGGGGAAUAUUGCACAAUGGGCGGAAGCCUGAUGCAGCAACGCCGCGUGCGGGAUGACGGCCUUCGGGUUGUAAACCGCUUUCGCCUGUGACGAAGCGUGAGUGACGGUAAUGGGUAAAGAAGCACCGGCUAACUACGUGCCAGCAGCCGCGGUGAUACGUAGGGUGCGAGCGUUGUCCGGAUUUAUUGGGCGCAAAGGGCUCGUAGGUGGUUGAUCGCGUCGGAAGUGUAAUCUUGGGGCUUAACCCUGAGCGUGCUUUCGAUACGGGUUGACUUGAGGAAGGUAGGGGAGAAUGGAAUUCCUGGUGGAGCGGUGGAAUGCGCAGAUAUCAGGAGGAACACCAGUGGCCGAAGGCGGUUCUCUGGGCCUUUCCUGACGCUGAGGAGCGAAAGCGUGGGGAGCGAACAGGCUUAGAUACCCUGGUAGUCCACGCUGUAAACGGUGGGUACUAGGUGUGGGGUCCAUUCCACGGGUUCCGUGCCGUAGCUAACGCUUUAAGUACCCCGCCUGGGGAGUACGGCCGCAAGGCUAAAACUCAAAGGAAUUGACGGGGCCCCGCACAAGCGGCGGAGCAUGCGGAUUAAUUCGAUGCAACGCGUAGAACCUUACCUGGGUUUGACAUGGAUCGGGAGUGCUCAGAGAUGGGUGUGCCUCUUUUGGGGUCGGUUCACAGGUGGUGCAUGCCUGUCGUCAGCUCGUGUCGUGAGAUGUUGGGUUAAGUCCCGCAACGAGCGCAACCCUUGUUCACUGUUGCCAGCACGUUAUGGUGGGGACUCAGUGGAGACCGCCGGGGUCAACUCGGAGGAAGGUGGGGAUGACGUCAAGUCAUCAUGCCCCUUAUGUCCAGGGCUUCACGCAUGCUACAAUGGCUGGUACAGAGAGUGGCGAGCCUGUGAGGGUGAGCGAAUCUCGGAAAGCCGGUCUCAGUUCGGAUUGGGGUCUGCAACUCGACCUCAUGAAGUCGGAGUCGCUAGUAAUCGCAGAUCAGCAACGCUGCGAUGAAUACGUUCCCGGGGCU